ACGCGAAAGGGGAGCAAUCCCUGAGUAGAGUGGCAAACGGGUGAGUAACACGUGGGUGACCUGCCUUCGAGUGGGGGAUAACGUCCCGAAAGGAACGCUAAUACCGCAUGACAUCCUGCUUUUGGAAAAGCGGAGAUCAAAGCUGGGGAUUCGCAAGAACCUAGCGCUUGGAGAGGGGCCCGCGCCUGAUUAGCUAGUUGGUGAGGUAACGGCUCACCAAGGCUACGAUCAGUAUCCGGCCUGAGAGGGCGGACGGACACACUGGGACUGAGACACGGCCCAGACUCCUACGGGAGGCAGCAGUGGGGAAUUGUUCGCAAUGGGCGCAAGCCUGACGACGCAACGCCGCGUGGAGGAUGAAGAUUUUCGGAUCGUAAACUCCUGUCGAGUGGGAAGAAUAGCUUUCGGGUAAAUAUCCCGAGAGUCUGACGGUACCACUAAAGGAAGCCCCGGCUAACUCCGUGCCAGCAGCCGCGGUAAUACGGGGGGGGCAAGCGUUG
rnacentral:rRNA from 1 species